rnacentral:rRNA from 1 species
AUUGAACGCUGGCGGCAUGCCUUACACAUGCAAGUCGAACGGCAGCACGGACUUCGGUCUGGUGGCGAGUGGCGAACGGGUGAGUAAUGUAUCGGAACGUACCUUUCAGUGGGGGGUAACGUAGCGAAAGUUACGCUAAUACCGCAUAUUCUGUGAGCAGGAAAGCAGGGGAUCGCAAGACCUUGCGCUGAUUGAGCGGCCGAUAUCAGAUUAGCUAGUUGGUGGGGUAAAGGCCUACCAAGGCUACGAUCUGUAGCGGGUCUGAGAGGAUGAUCCGCCACACUGGAACUGAGACACGGUCCAGACUCCUACGGGAGGCAGCAGUGGGGAAUAUUGGACAAUGGGGGCAACCCUGAUCCAGCCAUGCCGCGUGUGUGAAGAAGGCCUCGGUUGUAAGCACUUUGUUGGGUAGAACGG